UACAGAGGUCUCAAGCGUUGUUCGGAUUCAUUGGGCGUAAAGGGCUCGUAGGUGGCCAAUUAAGUCAGGCGUGAAAUCCCCAGGCUCAACUUGGGAACUGCGUCUGAUACUGGUUGGCUUGAAUUCGGGAGAGGGAUGCAGAAUUCCAGGUGUAGCGGUGAAAUGCGCAGAUAUCAGGAGGAACACCGGUGGCGAAGGCGGGUCUCUGGGCCGUAACUGACGCUGAGGAGCGAAAGCAUGGGGAGCGAACAGG
rnacentral:rRNA from 1 species